UUUUUUUUGUUCAUUUUAAUUUUUUAUCAGGUUCUACACUUCAGAGGUGUUGUUGGCAUCAUGAAUAUUUUUUUGAUGAAAUAUUUUUUUUGUUCUCUCUGGGUCGCUUGCUAUCGGCGAAAUCUAAAUUAGUAUUGGGAAAAUCAAUUGAAACUGGAGAAUGCUGUUUAUGCUUCAAAAGUUGCUUAAGGAAUAGGGUUUUGCCCAGUGCAUGACGCUUGAUUUGAGUGACUUUACCAAGAUGGGGACCAUACACCGCAGUGGAGCCUUCAAAAAAUCAAAUGACACUAUCAGACUUGUAAUUACAACUUUAA